CCUACGGGAGGCUGCAGUGAGGAAUAUUGGUCAAUGGGCGGAAGCCUGAACCAGCCAAGUAGCGUGCAGGAAGAAGGAUCUAUGGUUUGUAAACUUCUUUUAUAGGGGAAUAAAGGUAUCCACGUGUGGAUAUUUGCAUGUACCCUAUGAAUAAGCAUCGGCUAACUCCGUGCCAGCAGCCGCGGUAAUACGGAGGAUGCGAGCGUUAUCCGGAUUUAUUGGGUUUAAAGGGUGCGUAGGUUGUUUUUUAAGUCAGCGGUGAAAGUUUGUGGCUCAACCAUAACAUUGCCGUUGAAACUGGAAGACUUGAGUGUGUUUGAGGUAGGCGGAAUGCGUGGUGUAGCGGUGAAAUGCAUAGAUAUCACGCAGAACUCCGAUUGCGAAGGCAGCUUACUAAGCCAUAACUGACACUGAAGCACGAAAGCGUGGGGAUCAAACAGGAUUAGAUACCCUUGUAGUC
rnacentral:rRNA from 1 species